ACGGGUGAGGAAUACGUCGGAAUCUGCCUAUUUGUGGGGGAUAACGUAGGGAAACUUACGCUAAUACCGCAUACGACCUACGGGUGAAAGCGGAGGACCUUCGGGCUUCGCGCAGAUAGAUGAGCCGACGUCGGAUUAGCUAGUUGGCGGGGUAAAGGCCCACCAAGGCGACGAUCCGUAGCUGGUCUGAGAGGAUGAUCAGCCACACUGGAACUGAGACACGGUCCAGACUCCUACGGGAGGCAGCAGUGGGGAAUAUUGGACAAUGGGCGCAAGCCUGAUCCAGCCAUGCCGCGUGUGUGAAGAAGGCCUUCGGGUUGUAAAGCACUUUUGUCCGGAAAGAAAAGCUUCGGGUUAAUACCCCGGGGUCCUGACGGUACCGGAAGAAUAAGCACCGGCUAACUUCGUGCCAGCAGCCGCGGUAAUACGAAGGGUGCAAGCGUUACUCGGAAUUACUGGGCGUAAAGCGUGCGUAGGUGGUUUGUUAAGUCUGAUGUGAAAGCCCUGGGCUCAACCUGGGAAUUGCAUUGGAUACUGGCAGGCUAGAGUGCGGUAGAGGAUGGCGGAAUUCCCGGUGUA
rnacentral:rRNA from 1 species